GAUGAACGCUGGCGGCGUGCCUAAUACAUGCAAGUCGAGCGAACAGACGCGGCGGUUGCUCCGCUGACGUAAGCGGCGGGCGGGUGAGUAACACGUUGAUAACGUCCCUAUGAUACUGGGAUAAAUUCGGGACACCGGCGCUAAUACCGUUCUAUAUAUUGAACCGCAGUGUUCAAUAGUGAAAGACGGUUUUUCUGUCCCUUAUAGAUGGAUCCGCGCCGCAUUAGCUAGUUGGUAAGGUAACAGCUUACUAAGGCGACGAUGCGUAGCCGACCUGAGAGAGUGAUCGGCCACACGAGAACGGAGACGCGCUCCAGACGACUACGGGAGGCCGCAGUAGGGAACGUUACGCAACGGGCGAAAACCUUGCGGAGCAACCGGGAGUGAGUGAUGAAGACCUUCGGAUAGUAAAACUCUGUUAUGAGGUAAGAACAAAUGUGUAAGUAACUAUGCACGUAUUGACGGUACCUAAUCAGAAAGCCCCGGCUAACUACGUG
rnacentral:rRNA from 1 species